rnacentral:rRNA from 2 species
UACGAAGGGGGCUAGCGUUGUUCGGAUUUACUGGGCGUAAAGCGCACGUAGGCGGUUUGUUAAGUCAGGGGUGAAAUCCUGGAGCUCAACUCCAGAACUGCCUUUGAUACUGGCAAGCUAGAGUCCGGAAGAGGUAAGUGGAACUCCUAGUGUAGAGGUGGAAUUCGUAGAUAUUAGGAAGAACACCAGUGGCGAAGGCGGCUUACUGGUCCGGAACUGACGCUGAGGUGCGAAAGCGUGGGGAGCAAACAGG